UACGUAGGGUGCGAGCGUUAAUCGGAAUUACUGGGCGUAAAGCGUGUGCAGGCGGCGCGUUAAGACAGGUGUGAAAGCCCCGAGCUUAACUUGGGAAUUGCGCUUGUGACUGGCGUGCUGGAGUGUGGCAGAGGGAGGUGGAAUUCCACGUGUAGCGGUGAAAUGCGUAGAGAUGUGGAGGAACACCGAUGGCGAAGGCAGCCUUCUGGGCCAACACUGACGCUCAUGCACGAAAGCGUGGGGAGCAAACAGG
rnacentral:rRNA from 1 species